rnacentral:rRNA from 1 species
UGGGGAAUAUUGCACAAUGGGGGAAACCCUGAUGCAGCGACGCCGCGUGGAGGAAGAAGGUCUUCGGAUUGUAAACUCCUGUUGUUGAGGAAGAUAAUGACGGUACUCAACAAGGAAGUGACGGCUAACUACGUGCCAGCAGCCGCGGUAAAACGUAGGUCACAAGCGUUGUCCGGAAUUACUGGGUGUAAAGGGAGCGCAGGCGGGAAGGCAAGUUGGAAGUGAAAUCCAUGGGCUCAACCCAUGAACUGCUUUCAAAACUGUUUUUCUUGAGUAGUGCAGAGGUAGGCGGAAUUCCCGGUGUAGCGGUGGAAUGCGUAGAUAUCGGGAGGAACACCAGUGGCGAAGGCGGCCUACUGGGCACCAACUGACGCUGAGGCUCGAAAGUGUGGGUAGCAAACAGGAUUAGAUACCCUGGUAGUCCACACUGUAAACGAUGAUUACUAGGUGUUGGAGGAUUGACCCCUUCAGUGCCGCAGUUAACACAAUAAGUAAUCCACCUGGGGAGUACGACCGCAAGGUUGAAACUCAAAGGAAUUGACGGGGGCCCGCACAAGCAGUGGAGUAUGUGGUUUAAUUCGACGCAACGCGAAGAACCUUACCAAGUCUUGACAUCCUGCGACGCACAUAGAAAUAUGUGUUUCCUUCGGGACGCAGAGACAGGUGGUGCAUGGUUGUCGUCAGCUCGUGUCGUGAGAUGUUGGGUUAAGUCCCGCAACGAGCGCAACCCUUAUGGUCAGUUACUACGCAAGAGGACUCUGGCCAGACUGCCGUUGACAAAACGGAGGAAGGUGGGGAUGACGUCAAAUCAUCAUGCCCUUUAUGACUUGGGCUACACACGUACUACAAUGGCGUUAAACAAAGAGAAGCAAGACCGCGAGGUGGAGCAAAACUCAGAAACAACGUCCCAGUUCGGACUGCAGGCUGCAACUCGCCUGCACGAAGUCGGAAUUGCUAGUAAUCGCAGAUCAGCAUGCUGCGGUGAAUACGUUCCC